AGUCUUAAGAUUUCUCAAAAGUUUAAUUCUAGUUAUCAAGUAUUAUUGUAUAUUUAAAUUAAUUAAUUAGACAAAAAGAUGAAUGUGUGAUAAUUAAACUUAGGGCUAUCUUAUAUGAAUAUAUUCUUUUGACUUAUUUUUACAAUCUAAUAAUAUAUAUGAAUUGAAUUUUCACUAAUUUCUUUUAAGUGUCUUUUCAAUCAAUUAAAUAAUUAACAAUAAGUGAUGAUAUGACUAGACAUAAUAAUUUGAAAUAAGCUUUCUCUUAAACCUACUGAACAUGAUAUGUUGAAACCAGGUAACAAAAUGAGACAAUUAGGUCAAGAAAUGUGUGGCUACAAAGUGUGUACAUGUGUGUGUGAAUGAAUGAGUGAAGCUAGCAAUUACAUGGUAAUAUAUAUAAGCUGAAACAUAAGUGUAUUUUCCUUGAAAAAGAAAAGGAUAAAGUUUGAUAUACAUCUAAUUUAAUUAAUAAAAGCAGCCAAUGGGGUGUGUCACAUUAUUUUAUUUAUAUAGAUAAGAAAAAAAGGGUAAGAACACAAAUAUUAAUUAUAGGUAUCAUGUGUCUCGUUGAGAUCAUGUUCCUUGGCUGAGAAUAAAAGUUAUGCAUGUUAGACAACACGUAUAAAAAGAGUAGCAUUGUAAGAUGCUGAUGAAGAAAAAAAUUGAUGCCUCUUUGCUUUGAAGCUUGGGGAUCCAAUUCAACAUCACACAAUAUCCCAUUUCUCAUUGCAAUGUGUCACAGUGACUAGGGUGAUGAUUUUCUUGUUUGGGAAAGAAUGAAGUUGAGGCAGAGAAAGGUACUAAUUUGGAGCUAGCUAUAAUGUCUUGGUGUGCAUUAUAUAUGUUUGGGAGAGUUAAAAUUAAAAUAAAGAAAAUGCAUGGUAUAUAUAUUUAUUUGGAAUUAUGUCAUACAAACUCCUAGAAAUUUUUUUUCUCUUUCAUCUAACUAGAGAUAGAGCUAUUUAAGCAUACCCCACUUCCAUGAACUUUAACACCCUAAAAUAGAAGGUUAUAUUAUCUCUCAUCCAAACUAUUUUCUUCUCAUAUAUAAUAGGCAUCACCAAUUGAAAAGAAAAAAUGAAUAUGCUAUAGGAGACUAGAAAUAGCUUCAUAGUUACAUGCAAUAGUAAUUAAUAGUACUAUUGGGGCACACAAACUAGCUAUAUAUCCUUGUUUUUAUGUUUCUUGUUUUAGAAAAAAACAACACUUUC